ACAUGCCUACGACAUUGCAUUAAUGCACCGGAUCCCAUUAGAACUCCGCAGUUAAGCACGCUCAGGCUAGAGUAGUACUAGGAUGGGUGACCGCUUGGGAAGUCCUAGUGUUUUACAUGCC
rnacentral:rRNA from 1 species